AACGCACCUUGCGCCCGGUGGUAUUCCGCCGGGCAUGCCUGUCUGAGUGUCCUUAACCUCUCAACCUUUUUACAUUUUGUCUUUUCGACGUCUUGUAAUUUGGCUUGGAUCGUGGAUUCGGUAGGGUGUUUCAUCACUCAACCCAUCUUAAACGUAGUUGGUUAACUUGUUAUUAACGGUUUGACCGGGUGUUGUAGAGUCGCCUCACUCGGGACGUUGAUCGAUUAGCCCAUAACUUGAUCGUCAUUGAUUACUCAAAACGAUUUAGACCUCAGAUCAGGUAGGAUUACCCGCUGAACUUAA
rnacentral:rRNA from 1 species